rnacentral:rRNA from 1 species
AGAGUUUGAUCAUGGCUCAGAUUGAACGCUGGCGGCAGGCCUAACACAUGCAAGUCGAGCGGAAACGACUUAACUGAACCUUCGGGGAACGUUAAGGGCGUCGAGCGGCGGACGGGUGAGUAAUGCCUGGGAAUAUGCCUUAGUGUGGGGGAUAACUAUUGGAAACGAUAGCUAAUACCGCAUAAUGUCUUCGGACCAAAGAGGGGGACCUUCGGGCCUCUCGCGCUAAGAUUAGCCCAGGUGAGAUUAGCUAGUUGGU